AUUGAAUAAGUUAUUACAAGCGCUGUUGAAUAGAAAUUCAACAGAUAACAGGAAAAUGGGUUAAAAUCCCAUGCUGUCCCGCAGCUGUAAUCGAGGAGUCUGAUUUCAUGAUGUCACUGGUAUCCGUAUGAUACUGGGAAGGCGAAAUUAAGAUGAUGAUCCGUAAGCCAGAAGACCUACUUGUAAUGUGAUUCGUUG
rnacentral:ncRNA from 1 species